GACGAACGCUGGCGGCGUGCUUAACACAUGCAAGUCGAACGAAGUGGCGAACGGGUGAGUAACGCGUAAUCAACCUGCCCUUCAGAGGGGGACAACAGUUGGAAACGACUGCUAAUCCCGCAUACUGAAGGAGGGGUUUGCGUCUGAUUAGCUAGUUGGGGGGGUAACGGCCCACCAAGGCGAAGAGCAGUAGCCGGUCCGGGAGGAUGAACGGCCAAAAUGGGAAGGGGAAACGGGCCAGAAUCCUAAGGGAGGCAAGAGGGGGGAAACUUCCGCAAAGGAGGAAAGGCUGACGGAGCAAAGGCGCGGGAGAGGUGACGGCCUUCGGGGUGUAAAGCUAUGUUAAUCGGGAAGCGGUACCGGAAUAGAAAGCAACGGCUAACUACGUGCCAGCAGCCGCGGUAAUUC
rnacentral:rRNA from 1 species